GAGAGGUAACGGCUCACCAAGGCAUGGACGGGUAGAUGGUGUGAGAGGAUGAUCAGCCACACUGGAAGUGAGACACGGUCCAGACUCCUACGGGAGGCAGCAGUGGGGAAUCUUGCUCAAUGGGCGCAAACCUGAUGCAGCAACGCCGCGUGCGGGAAGAAGGCCCUAGGGUUGUAAACCGCUUUCAGGAGGGAAGAAAAAGACGCUACCUCCUGAAGAAGGUGCGGCCAAUUACGUUCCAGCAGCCGCGGUGACAGGUAGGCCCCAAGCGUUAUCCGGAUUUAUUGGGCGUAAAGAGCUCGUAGGCGGUUCGGUAAGUUGGGUGUGAAAAUCCAAGGCUCAACCUUGGGACGCCACCCGAUACUGAUGUGACUAGAGUGCAGUAGGGGAGCAGGGAAUUUUUGGUGUAGCGGUGAAAUGGGCAGAUAUCAGGAGGAACUCCAGUGGCGAAGGCCAUGGUUUGGGCUGUAACUGACGCUGAGGACAGAAUUCGUGGGUAGCAAACAGGGUUAGAUACCCUGGUAGUCCACGCCGUCAACGUUGGGCAUUAGGUGUGGGUCUCAACCAACGAGAUCCGCGCCGUCGCUAAGGCCUUAAGUG
rnacentral:rRNA from 1 species